UUGAACGCUGGCGGCAGGCCUAACACAUGCCAGUCGAGCGGAUGAAGGGAGCUUGCUCCUGGCUUCAGCGGCGGACGGGUGAGUAAUGCCUAGGAAUCUGCCUGGUAGUGGGGGAUAACGUCCGGAAACGGGCGCUAAUACCGCAUACGUCCUGAGGGAGAAAGUGGGGGAUCUUCGGACCUCACGCUAUCAGAUGAGCCUAGGUCGGAUUAGCUAGUUGGUGGGGUAAAGGCCUACCAAGGCGACGAUCCGUAACUGGUCUGAGAGGAUGAUCAGUCACACUGGAACUGAGACACGGUCCAGACUCCUACGGGAGGCAGCAGUGGGGAAUAUUGGACAAUGGGCGAAAGCCUGAUCCAGCCAUGCCGCGUGUGUGAAGAAGGUCUUCGGAUUGUAAAGCACUUUAAGUUGGGAGGAAGGGCAGUAAGUUAAUACCUUGCUGUUUUGACGUUACCAACAGAAUAAGCACCGGCUAACUUCGUG
rnacentral:rRNA from 1 species